UACGAAGGGGGCUAGCGUUGCUCGGAAUCACUGGGCGUAAAGCGCACGUAGGCGGAUUGCUAAGUCAGGGGUGAAAUCCUGGAGCUCAACUCCAGAACUGCCUUUGAUACUGAAGAUCUUGAGUUCGGGAGAGGUGAGUGGAACUGCGAGUGUAGAGGUGAAAUUCGUAGAUAUUCGCAAGAACACCAGUGGCGAAGGCGGCUCCCUGGCCCGAUACUGACGCUGAGGCACGAAAGCGUGGGGAGCAAACAGG
rnacentral:rRNA from 1 species